rnacentral:misc_RNA from 1 species
GUUUCUCCAUAGGCACUUCAAUGUCACACUGACUCAUUAUUCUCUUGCAAAGUUGGGCAUCAAGAGGCAGGGCAGACACUUCAAUCAUCACAUGAAUUGAAUGCAUACUUCUCACCACAAAUAACCAUACUUAAUCACAAACUAGUUGAAACCGACUAUAUCAAUACUUUUUCGCCAUUCAUUUCUAUUUGAAACAAGUUCUGCAUAAAUAUUCAAGGAUUGUAAAUCUUUGAAACUAAGAGAAUGAAAUUUGCCAAUCAAACUGUAAUCUGCUUUGAUUAUUGGCAAAGAACAUGCCUUAAGGCUGUUGCAAUCAUUCUCAUUACAGUUCAGUACCAGAGGAGAAUUACAGAUGAAAUUUGUUAUGCUAUUCAUGCACCAAAUCAGUGCGAUCAGUCAUUUACUCAGUUUUCCUCCUCAACUACUUUAAUACUUCUCAUCCGAGAACACAGAUCAUGUACCAUGUAAAAAUGGCACCACUGAUCAAUAUUUUUUAUUUGAAUCUACAAAAUUGAGUAACAUGAAUUUUUAAGGGGGGCUUACAUAACAAGCCUGUCGGAUGCCUAUCUUUAUCAUUCGGCUAAAAGGGGGCUGCUUUGUUCUAACAGCAUGAAAGUCAGAAACUUAUUGUAUCCUACGUAUUUGUUUGUCUCGUUACAUUACACGCUGUUAAUGUACAUGAUGUCCUCCUUUGAUAUCUGCAUCUUUCCUUUGUCUCGUUUACCAUUAGUUUUAGUCCGGUCUGGUUGGCCACGCUGAGAAAAACACAAACUGCCCUCAAAACCUUGCUAACCGGUAACCAUAAAGCAUUGGCAUGAUUCACACAUUCCCUCGCCGUUACAAAUGUCCCAACAUUACAGAAAACAAUUACUCUGAAUUUAUUAAGACACGAUAUGCUUACCUUCUUCAACACAAAUGCCAAAUACAAAUAAGCCACUUCCCAUUCAUCGGGCGAUAAUGUGCCUGGAUGUCCAAUGACAUAACACGAACAAAUUUUAAAAAUUAAAAAAAAAUUAAUUAAUUAAUAACGCAUGAGAAUUAGAAUCUCAAAGUCUCAACAUACACAUACCAACCAAAUAAAAGAAAGAAUUAAAUGCCUAGAGCAAGCAGCUUACUCUGGUCUUGGUUACCAUCACCCAAAGCACCAAGCCUUCGCAUCAAAUCAAUAUAUUCUGGUUUUUUCAAAUACUCAUGAACAAAUUCAUGCGCAUUCUUCACAAAAAUUAGCUCCAAAUCAUACUCUUCUGCCAAUGAUUUGAAGAUAUUGAAAGGGACAAUCCAUUCAGGACAAUCAACGGCAUCCUCCAGGUGGAACUUGUAUUUGAUACCAUAAGGGCUUGAAUGUUUAAAUUUCUGGUCCACAAAGCAAAACAUUUAUCAGAUUAGAGGCUACUUACAGCAUCAUAAUUUUAACAAUGAGAAGAAUUCACCUUUUCAGAGUACUCUUCAUCAAAUCGUAUCCAGUAGACACUAUUACCAAAAGCUAGUCCUUUAGCUGUAUAUGAAAAUUGCAUCUUCCAUCAAUAAUGAGAAUCUUUAUUUCUUGUCAGGUCAAAGCAUGAAAGUAAACACAAAGAAAACUGACACAGAAUGAAAAUAUUAGGACAACAUCCACUACAAUAAUUUAAAAAAUUCUAGGGUUUUUUAAUUAUAAUUCAGCUUCUAUCAAAUGAAACACAUUCCCAACCACUAUCCAUUUUUCCCCUUUGACAAAUAGUCAUUUUAGUGUUCUUUUUUCACACAAUUUUAGGAAUCAACAAAUAUCUUAUAAAUUGGCCAUAAAUGUCAACUGUUAAGAUACUUGCUAUAAUUGUGCCAAAGAUUGAGAUUAUGUGCUGUGAUUGCUUGCUCUAAUGGUGCCUGUGAAUAUGUCUGUAAAUGUGUCGUCAUGUAUUCUUCCUUUUCAGUGUAUAUGAAAACAGCUUAUAUACAUUAUCCCCAAUGGCCUGAGGGAAUAUCCAAGCUCUUUUUAUCCCAUAUUCUUCUUCUCAUUCUUCUCUAUUUCUCCUUCUUUUACAUCAACAAAAAAAUUUCCCUGUGAACUAAUGGAGAUUAAAGGAAAAAACAAGGAUUACUAAUUUACCAAUGGAGUGUCACCAUAUGAAAUUAAGAACCACAGACAAGUCAUGAACAUAGUCCAAAGCUUUCUCGUUCUUUGAUCUAUAAUAAUUAAAAAUACAUCUUGCAGAAUUAGCAGGGCACUAACAAAGCACUGCACCUAUUAAAGUUUAUUUGCUUCUGUAGAGAAUAUUGACAAUGUGAUUUUAGUAAAUUAUUCCUACAAUUGAUCAAUAUAGAAUGUUUAGACAAUACAUAGCAUGUUAAGAAAAAUAUGUCAUACAUAUAGGGUGGAGCUAUUUCCACAACAACUAAGGGUUUGUUCAGCAAUAUUAGCUGUUCUAGUAGCUGUUAGUUAUUCUAGUAGUAUCAGCUGUUUUACUAGACCUUGUUCAGCAAUAUUAGUUGUUCUAGUAGUUGUUAGUUGUUCUAGUAACUAUUAGCUGUUUUACUAGUUGUUAGAUAUUAGCUGUUAGUGGUCAGCUUUUUAUAUAGUAAUUUAAAACAGAAGUGUUCAGUAAAAAUAACUGUUAAAUAUAAAAAUAGUUAUAUCAUUUUGUUGAUUCUAGUCAAAACGCUCUCUCAACCUCUAAAAGUUAGGAGGAAUAGUUUUUCAUGAACCACUUCCUCAAUUUCUAAACACUACUAUAAAUACUAUCGACCCAUAUAAAUAAGAGAUGUAGUAUUUUGAUUAUAGUCAAAACACUAAACGCUACUUUAUAAGUUAUUGUUGAACAGGGUAUAAUCAUGGAAGGCUCACAUAUAAUUCUGUGAUGUCUUUCAACUGGUCACAAAUAAAACACAUACCUAAUAGGUUCUUAAUGAUUUGGUUCAAGGAGGGAGAAUUUAGAGAUGUUUCUAUGUACCCUAUUAGCGUUUUCAUGUAAAUUUUCUGCACUAACAUUUCGAAACUGCACCCUUGUGGCUGCAAAUUCAAGACUUAUGAAUGACCAAAAUGCACUUGGAAUUUGCUUGCUGAUUCCACAAAUGCAGAAAUCACACACGGAUAGAUAUCAUACAUAAGCAAUUGGGCAAAAUUUUGGCUCUCUUAUUGGUAGGAUUGAGAGGACGUCCCCUUGAGUUUACGGUUGGUUUUAAUUGCUAGUAUACAAAGAUGCAUGCUGUUUUCAUAGUUGCCCUUUAUUUUCUGAUUAUGACAAGUAAUUUGUGUAUUCAUCAUCGCUUUAUCUUUUUCUCUUCAUCGUCUUUGCUGAAAAAAAGGAGUGGCCUGAAGAGAAAUACC